rnacentral:tRNA from 1 species
UCCCUGGUGGUCCAGUGGUUAGGACUCUGCACUUGCACUGCCAAGGGCCUGGGUUCGAUCCCUGGUUGGAGAA